AUUGAACGCUGGCGGCAUGCCUUACACAUGCAAGUCGAACGGCAGCACGGGAGCAAUCCUGGUGGCGAGUGGCGAACGGGUGAGUAAUAUAUCGGAACGUGCCCAGUCGUGGGGGAUAACGUAGCGAAAGCUACGCAAAUACCGCAUACGAUCUAUGGAUGAAAGCGGGGGAUCGCAAGACCUCGCGCGAUUGGAACGGCCGAUAUCAGAUUAGGUAGUUGGUGAGGUAAAGGCUCACCAAGCCGACGAUCUGUAGCUGGUCUGAGAGGACGACCAGCCACACUGGGACUGAGACACGGCCCAGACUCCUACGGGAGGCAGCAGUGGGGAAUUUUGGACAAUGGGCGCAAGCCUGAUCCAGCAAUGCCGCGUGCAGGAUGAAGGCCUUCGGGUUGUAAACUGCUUUUGUACGGAACGAAACGGUGAGCUCUAAUACAGUUUGCUAAUGACGGUACCGUAAGAAUAAGCACCGGCUAACUACGUGCCAGCCGCCGCCGUAA
rnacentral:rRNA from 1 species